rnacentral:rRNA from 1 species
CCUACGGGAGGCUGCAGUGAGGAAUAUUGGUCAAUGUGCGAGAGCCUGAACCAACCAAGUCGCGUGAGGGAAGACGGUCCUAUGGAUUGUAAACCUCUUUUGUCGGGGAGCAAAAAGGCCUCGUGAGGCCACAAGUGAGAGUACCCGAAGAAAAAGCAUCGGCUAACUCCGUGCCAGCAGCCGCGGUAAUACGGAGGAUGCGAGCGUUAUCCGGAUUUAUUGGGUUUAAAGGUGGCGUAGGCGGGCUUUUAAGUCAGCGGUAAAAAUUCGGGGCUCAACCCCGUCCGGCCGUUGAAACUGGGGGCAUUGAGUGGGCGAGAAGAAGGCGGAAUGCGUGGUGUAGCGGUGAAAUGCAUAGAUAUCACGCAGAACCCCGAUUGCGAAGGCAGCCUUCCGGCGCCCUACUGACGCUGAGGCACGAAAGUGCGGGGAUCGAACAGGAUUAGAUACCCCAGUAGUC